UACGUAGGGUGCGAGCGUUAUUCGGAAUUACUGGGCGUAAAGGGUGCGUAGGCGGUUUGCUAAGUCGGAUGUGAAAUCCCUGGGCUCAACCUAGGAACAGCAUACGUGACUGGCAGGCUAGAGUAUCGAAGAGGGGGGUAGAAUUCCACGUGUAGCAGUGAAAUGCGUAGAGAUGUGGAGGAAUACCGAUGGCGAAGGCAGCCCCCUGGUCAGAUACUGACGCUGAGGCACGAAAGCGUGGGGAGCAAACAGG
rnacentral:rRNA from 1 species